CACAAGGCACGCUGCACGCGCGUGUUCAGGCGCACACAACUGUUUCUUCAUAUCACCCGCCGCUCUGCUCCGGGUGCCGGCACGCCGCUGCCCCCCUCUCGCCCGUCUUUGCUCCUCUUCUCUCGUCAGUGCCCACCGCCGUCACGGGCACGGCCACGCGCAUGCACGCACUCCUUUCAGCAUGGCCAACUCUUCAUCCCUUCUAUUCUGGUGCGCAUACCACCUCGUCGUGUCACCGCCACGUGCGUGAGCUCCCGAUUCUCUGGCUUGUCGCCGACCACCUCCUCGUCGUGCCUCUCCUCUCUAUCGAACCGGGGGCCACCGGUGCUGAUUUUGGCCGCAUGCAGCUCUACAAGCGCCCCUCCUUCUCCUCCAACAUCUCUUGCUCAUCUCUCUUCUGCUUUCCUCUUACCCCCUCCCCUCAUCCACUCCCCACCCUCUGCGAGCGCGUGUGUAUUGGGGAACUGACAUCGGCUGCCACCCUCACCAGUCAUCACUUCGUCUCGUUCCUUCAUUAGGCGACACACAGGUACGCCUACGUUCGCCUAUAGAAACCCCUCCCCACAGAGUGCACCAGCAGCUGGAGGGCGAACGCCGUGCACAACGUGUGUGCUUCUGUCAUCGUCGCCGCCGCCACUGCCGCUUCCUCUUCCAGGCCUUUGUUAUUCUCCCUUCCCAUUCGGGUGUGCUCCCUGUGACAGCUGCUCGCGUGUGUCGGUAUAUAUCGUCCUCUUCGGUAGUAUGCUGCGCAGAUCGGUACGAUGUCUGUCGCUGCGCACGAGCAGGCGCGAAGACCUCGUCUUCAGAAGCAUGCACGGCUUCACGCUGCUCAAGAUCCGGCGCAUCGAUGACCUGCACCUCGUGGCGUACGAAAUGGAGCACGUCCGCACCGGCGCUCUCUACUACCACAUCGACGUGGAGGACAAUAACAAUACCUUUUGCAUCGGCUUCCGAACACCGGCGGAGAACAACAAGGGCACCUCCCACGUGCUGGAGCACACAACACUAUGCGGCAGCAAGAAGUAUCCGGUGCGGGAUCCGUUCUUCAUGAUGCUCAAGCGCUCCCUUAGCUCUUUUAUGAACGCCAUGACCGGGUCCGACUACACGCUGUACCCCUUCUCGACUACCAAUCGCAAGGACUUCCAAAACCUUCUCGACGUCUACCUCGACGCCGUCCUCCACCCAUUGCUGCGAGAGGAGGACUUCAAGCAGGAGGGUCACCGAGUGGAACUCGAGGACAAGUCGGGGGACAGCGAAGACGCCGCUGCGCAGCCGGCGAAGCGCACUCGCCGGCUUAUCAACAACGGCGUCGUUUUCAACGAGAUGCGCGGCGUUGUGUCGGAUCCCAGCAACCACUUUGUGCACUCGCUGAUGCGCGCCAUGCUGCCGCACACACACUACACCUACAUAUCCGGCGGCUACCCGCCCGACAUUCUGGGGCUCAGCUACGACGAGCUCCUGUCCUUCCAGAGGCGCCACUACCACCCAAGCAACAGCAUCACCUUCACAUACGGCAACCUGCACCCUGAGUCGCACAUGGAAGCGUUAGACUCGUACUUCGCGGACUUCGAGCGCGCGGCGCCGGUCGUAGUGCCGACACUGGCGGACGAGCACCGUUUCACGGAGCCCCAGCUCGUGCACCUGGAGGGGCCGCUGGACGCCAUGGGCAACCCGCGGCGGCAGAAGCGAGUUGCCGUUUCCUACGCGGUACCAAAGGAAAAUAAUAAGUUGGAGGAUGUCGUGGCUCUCAGCGUGCUGGACAGCCUUCUCUCUAGCGGUCCCAGCUCCCCCAUGUUCAAGAACCUGAUCGAGUCACAGAUUGGCAGCAAGUACGCUCCGAUGCAAGGGUACGCCUUCUAUCUGUCCUCCCCGAUCAUCACCUAUGGUGUGGCUGGCAUGGAUGAGGACCGGGCAGACGCAGAGGCUGACGUGCUGCAGGCUGUGGAGUCUGCGCUCCGCACGGUGCAGAGGGACGGCUUCGACGAGCGACGCGUGCGCUCCGUUAUCUUCCAGGAGGAGCUGCAGCACCGUCACCGAUCUGCCGACUACGGGCUCAACACGUGCACAGGCCUGUGUGCGAUGGGUCUGUGCCGGGCGCAGAACAACCCGCUGGACUUCAUCAACUGGCUGCCACACCUCCGGCGGCUGGCGGACGACAAUGCGGCCUCGCUGCUGCCGCGCAUUGAGACGCACCUGCUGAGCAACCCCCACCGCGCCGUCGUGUCCGUGUCAGCCAAGAAGGAGUAUCUGAACAGGCUGCAGGACCAACUGAAGGAAGCGGAUGAGGCGGUGAACGCGUCGGCGACGGAGGCCGACAAAGACCGGGUGGAGAAGGAGACGAAGGAGGGGCUCCAACGCCUCCGCGCGCCGCAGCCGCACGACGUGCUGCCCACACUGCGCAUCGAGGACAUCCCCACCGAGUCGCUUGCGGAGCCCGUGCCGUGUCGCAGCUCUCUCUCGAGCGCCAACGGCCAGGUGUACACAAUCACGCACCAAACGAAUGGCCUCGUGUACGUGCAUGGGCUCAUCCCCUUCAACACUUCUCUUACCAGCGCCAUGGAGCACGGGGAGCUGGGGCAGGUGCCGCAGAGCGUGAUGCUGCUCGAGUCGCUGAUCGGUCGCACCGGUGCCGGAAAGCUCUCCUACAAAGAUCACUCCAUUGCAGUGAAGCUGGCGUGCAGCGGGUUCGGCUUUGAGCCGCUGCUUAACGAGUCGUACUCGCACAAGAGCACCACCAUCACCGGCACUAGCUACAGCUUCUACACCACCAAGGAAAAGCUGAAGGAGGCGCUGGACUUAUUGAGCGUGACACUGCUGGAGCCGCGCUUCAGCGCCGACGACGCCGAUGUCUACUCCCGUGCGCUGUCGAAUCUCAAGAUGGCAUGCUCGUCGGUGAUCCAGUCUCUGCAGGCAGAGGGCAACCGCUACGCCGUCAUCCGCGCCGUGGGGGAGCUCACCCGGCGCGGCGAGCUGCGCGAACACUGGUGGGGGUUGUCCCAGUCCGCGCAUGCGUCAGAGAUGCUCGAGAAGCUUCAGGGAAGCCCGGAAGUGAGCCGGGAGACCGUGAGCGCGCUGCUGGCCAACUACGCUGUCUUUGCGCAGGAGAUGGCGGCUGAUAUGUCGCGCAGUCUCGUUUGGGCGACGUGCGAGGAUGCACACCGCGAGGAGGUUGAGCGGAUGCUAAAGGAGUUCCUCGACGCGUUCCCGCGGACGGACUCUGCCGCGCGCACGCACCUGUUCCUGCCACCACGCUCCACGGAGAAGGGGGUCCAGCAGAUCAUCAAAAAGCUGCCUAUCGACACGUCCUUUGUGGGCCUGGCCAUGCCGAACAAGUUGAAGUGGGAGAGUCCCGACCAGGCACGGGUGCGGGUGGGCUGCACCCUGCUCUGCAACGAGUACUUGCACCGCCGUGUGCGAGAGGAGGGUGGCGCGUACGGCUCCAACUGCACCGCCACGCUCCACGGCGAGGUGGGCGGCGUCUCGAUGUCAAGCUACCGCGACCCCAGCCCGGAGCUCACCGCCAAAGCCUUCCUCGAGGCUGGCGAUUGGCUCAGCGACCGGAAGAACGUCACGGCGGAGCGCGUAAGCGAGGCGAAGCUGCGCCUCUUCUCCUCCAUCGACUCCCCGUAUGCGGCGGACUCGUACGGUGAGGCAUACUUCUAUAAUGAUCUGCGGCAGGACACGAAGCAGGCCUUGCGCGAUGCCCUGCUUUCCGUGACAGCAGAGGACGUUGUGAAUGUGGCCCACUACUUCACGCCUCAAUCCACCACCAUCAUCAGCAUUCUCCGACCCGCCGGCGAGUCGAGCGAUCCGGCCGCGGUGUCACCCGAGGUCUCGUAGAGCUGCCUGAUCGUGUGUGUGUGUGUGUGUGUGUGUGUGCUCUAAAGCAGAGGUGCCGAGCUGCGCCUCUCUCCCGUUUGAGCGAAGCGUGUGUGCAACCCCUAAUCCGAUGUUUCUUUGUCGUGUGAAGCCUUCAAGCAGAGAGGGUGUCGUGAGUGCGUUCGUGCGAACGAAUUUAGUGAGGAGAGCGUUGUAGCCGCCUGCGCGCGUGCCUCUGCGCGUACAUGCAUGCAUGUGUCUUCUCGGGUGAGUCUGCGCCUGGGCCUUUUCCCCUUUCUCAUGCGGCGGGCUGUUGACCCAAGGAAAGGAGAGCCACUGCCGCUGCCGACACUGUGCGUCCGUGACGUCGGUGCGUGAGAGGGUGGGGCAGUCUUCAGCGCACUUCGCCAACCACUUUCUCCUCACCGUUGCUGACGCGGACAAC
rnacentral:misc_RNA from 1 species